ACCCGUUGAUAUGUAACAUGUCCGGGGAAGUACGGGUAGCGUGUACGAGGUCAGCGGUAAUGCACGAUUUGUUUAAAUUGUUUGCCGGUUUUUAUCUGUGACAACUGUACUUGUACUUUCAUCGUGAGCGUCAGACCGACUGUCGGUGGAAGUUGACGGGGUUUUUCUUUUGUGCUCGUGUUGAAACAAGUCAAAGAUGCCCCACAUCUGCCACAGCACGGGGCGGUCCGGCCUCUCCCUCCUCCGCUUCAUCCACCGAAGGGUCUCCACCAGUUCCCACCACCCCCCCCGUUCCCACCAGAGCACCAUCACCACCACCCUGGGUCACAGCUGCCAGCACGGCCGGCGUGUGAGCACCGCAGCCCUCAGCCAGCAGCGGCAGCAGCACAUGCGGGACCUGAGCGGCCCCGAGCAGAGACUGCUGACGAAACUGUACGAGGGACUGGUCGGGGGACAGCGGGCGUCGCUGGCCGAGUCCAUCACUCUGGUGGAGACGCAGCACCCCAGGAAGAAGGAGCUGGCGCAGGUGCUGCUGCAGAGGGUGCUGGCCCACAGGACGGUGCAGGAGGGUCGCAAUGGUGGGAAGCCGGUGGCCUUCAGAGUAGGUCUGUCGGGUCCUCCUGGUGCAGGGAAGUCGUCCUUCAUCGAGGUGGUGGGGAAGAUGUUGACAGGACGUGGACAUAAAGUAUCAGUGCUGGCCGUGGACCCGUCCUCCUGCACAACAGGAGGGUCUCUGAUGGGCGAUAAGACUCGAAUGACUGAACUCUCCAGGGACAUGAAUGCUUUCAUCAGACCGUCGCCGACCUCUGGAACACUCGGUGGAGUCACCAGGACGACCAAUGAGGCCAUCGUUCUCUGUGAGGGGGCAGGAUAUGACAUUGUCCUUGUAGAGACUGUAGGUGUGGGCCAGUCAGAGUUUGCGGUGGCUGACAUGGUUGACAUGUUUGUGCUGCUGAUUCCACCAGCAGGGGGCGAUGAACUCCAGGGCAUCAAGAGGGGUAUCAUCGAGAGGGCUGACUUGGUGGUUGUGACGAAGUCGGACGGAGACCUGUUGGUGCCGGCCAGGAGGAUCCAGACUGAAUACACCAGCGCACUCAAGCUGCUCAGGAGACAGUCCAAGUCCUGGAACCCCAAGCCCGCCCAGGAGAACGAGGCGGUCGUGUACGUGGAGCCGUCGAAACGGCAACAUUAUCUGCGAGCCACGGACGAAAGGGAAAGAGAGGGGUAGAGAUGGAGGCGUUCACCGGGCCUGGAAGGCUGCGGCGGAGCCUCCAGGGUGCUGGGAGGCCGGGCCCGCUGAAGGAGAGCUCCAGACCAAGGCAGAGGCAACCUUUGGCUGGGCGAGAACGUGCUGUAACUUUCAUUACCACGACACAAGGGAGGAGAGGGAGAGAGAGCCCCUCCCGUCGGUCUCGUAAAAGCACCGGCUAGGCACCACGACGGGUCCGAUUGCUUAUUGUUAUGAUGGCACCGUUAUGAAUCAGACAACGCCACGUCCCUCAAAAGCUGAUCAGCGCUUCACCGUCUCCCUGCCGAAUGAUAUCGGCUUGUUUCAGAUUUUUCUCUACAUCUUUUUUAGUCUCAACCCGUAUUCUUGUGUCUUCCCACAUGCUGCCGUAUGUAUUUUAGUGAUUACAAGAAUCUAAAAUGAUCAUUGAAAUCAAAAUGUUUCUGUGAUGUGAAACAAAGCAGCGUUUGACCAUUUUUGAUCAUUUGACAAAAUUAUUUAAUGGCUGCAUCCCAAUGUCUUCAUCAGCUGAUAAUAAUAAUAAUAUUAAUAAUGUGACACUGACACAUUAGACCAAAUCAAGUACUGAGCCUCGGCUGAUGAAGACUUUGAGAUGAGGUUGAAAGCUCAGGAAAUAAAAUACACUAAGCUAAACCUUGAACUGUGUUCGCUCCUGUUCGAUGCGACAUCAAACGAAAACCUACCUGUUAAAAAUCAUUGGAUAUUUUUUUCAAUAAUGGACCUUGACCGUAGAUGAUUUUGCUCAACUACACUUCAGAAAGACAAGAAUCAAGUGAAUCAGUGUUUCAUAAUAUAUUAAGAUUAAGUGAUAUGUGAUAUUUUGGGAGGUUUCUCUCUGGUAGCGCUGCAACUAAUGAUAAUUUUACAUCAUAGAUUAAAUGUUAAGUCUGGCAAAUGUUGAAAAAAUAUAUGAGCAACAGAUGUUCAUUUUUGAGAGCAUUUGCUUCAUCAAACAACCGUAAUGACAAAUAAUUAGCAAAUUAAUUGCCAAUCAAUUUUUUAACAUGUUCAUUUAUAGGGUUGAGGCAUUGAGCAUCUCGGAGGAAACGGCCAACUGAGAGGAAAACAUAUUUCAUUUUUCCUCAAAGUUGAGGAGUGAUGCGGUUUCAACUAAGUGACAAAUGUGAUCAAACAGAAAAGACAGACAGCUGAUAUAAUAUCUGAUGUAAGCUUUACUUUCAAAUCCUGUUACAUUUAGAAUCUGGCAAGUUGAACAUAAAAUAAUGCCAAAAAAAACAACCAAAAAACGAUACAAAACCAAAAAAAAAAGAAAAAGGUACAAAUGAUCUAUUUACCAGUUUAUCGUCACAACCCUGUACAGCCUUAACAAUGGAGUAAUAAAAAAAAGCUUUAUACAGCACAUACCAAUCUUUAACGAAGUGCCAAAUGAUAAGAGAGUUGAGCCUUUUCUACUCAUAAAGUUGCAGCCGAACGUAAAGCGAACUGAUUGUAGGACAGUGCAGGCCGAUGCUGACUAAAUGCAACUGAGGGAGUUAGUUUGAAAACACAAUCAAGUGCUGAGGAACUAGAGCGAGGGGCAAUGUCAUGCAUACUCUGAAGUGCCGAAAAGGUAGUCGAGCUUUUAGAAAGAAGUCACUGUGCUGCUUACGAUUGGGCAAAAAAAUAAACAAUAAGUGGAAACAAUUUUUUUAAACAUAACACUCAAACUGGGGGGGGGGGGGGGGGGCCAUUCAUGAUUACGUUU